UACGAAGGAGGCUAGCGUUGCUCGGAAUCACUGGGCGUAAAGGGUGCGUAGGCGGGUCUUUAAGUCAGGGGUGAAAUCCUGGAGCUCAACUCCAGAACUGCCUUUGAUACUGAGGAUCUUGAGUUCGGGAGAGGUGAGUGGAACUGCGAGUGUAGAGGUGAAAUUCGUAGAUAUUCGCAAGAACACCAGUGGCGAAGGCGGCUCACUGGCCCGAUACUGACGCUGAGGCACGAAAGCGUGGGGAGCAAACAGG
rnacentral:rRNA from 1 species